rnacentral:lncRNA from 1 species
CAGCAGUUCUCUUUCUGCCUCUCAUCUCCCUCCACGAUCCUAUUUUAAGCCACACUCUUUAUCCUUUAGAUGGUUUUAUGAGAUUGAGAUUUUUCUCAGGCAUCUUGUCCCUGAGUGCAGCAGCGCCAUCUUGUGGUCAUUACUGGUUAUGGCGCUGUCCUAGAUCUAAGCUCCCAAACUCCGAGCCGCAGCCAGAACCCAGGCUUGGGAGGCAGCAGGGAUUUUGAAAGCCAAUGUGGCAGUCGGGCCAACACACCAGAUUACACACUACACCCUAAGAGGGUUUAAGUUUCCUCUGCGUCAUUUCGGGACAGCUGCUUAGUGUUGACCAUUUCUGUUUGUGGCUGUCCUCUCUCAUAAUGGGCUCUGUCUUGCCCUUUCUCUGCAUCUGCUGCUCCCUCUGUCUUGAGCUUUCAGGCACCGUCUACAAACGGGGUUUAAAAUGAGCUAGCGCCAUCUACUGGGCGAAUGCCGUAAGGUCGGUUGUGAGGUCCCGGAAUCUGCAAAGGAAUGAAUGAAUUACAAAUCUGUGGCUUUAUGGGGGGAAUGUCGAGAAUCGGGCACACGCUGAAGUGUGAGAACCACUGCCAUUAUGGAGAAGAGGCUUCCCGCCCCCUCACCUGCCACUCUAGAAAUCCAGAGAAGAGAUUCCACUUGGAUUAAGACUUGCAUAAGUGGGGAGUUGAGUCCAGUCUCUUUCCCCCACUGCAAUACCCUGUUGCGGUGACAUGUAAUAAUAAUAAAAAG